rnacentral:rRNA from 1 species
GACGAACGCUGGCGGCGUGCUUAACACAUGCAAGUCGAACGGAAAGGCCCUGCUUUCGUGGGGUGCUCGAGUGGCGAACGGGUGAGUAACACGUGAGUAACCUGCCCUUGACUUUGGGAUAACUUCAGGAAACUGGGGCUAAUACAGGACAGGAGCCCCCGCUGCAUGGUGGGGGUGGGAAAGUUUCGGCGGUUGGGGAUGGAUUCGCGGCUGACCAGCUUGUUGGUGGGGUAGUGGCUGACCAAGGCUUUGAAGGAUAGCCGGACUGGCAGGGUGACCGGCCACAUUGGCACUGGGAUGCGGCCCGGGCGGCAAAGGGGGGCAGGAGUGGAAAAUAUUGCACACUGGGCGGAAGGCUGAUACAGCAACGCCGGGUGCGAAAGGACGGCCUUCGGGUUGUAAACCGCUUUCGCCUAUAACGAGGCGUGAGUGACGUUAAUAAGGAAAGAAGCACCGGCUAACUACGU